rnacentral:rRNA from 1 species
AUUGAACGCUGGCGGCAGGCCUAACACAUGCAAGUCGAACGAGUGGCGGACGGGUGAGUAAUGUCUGGGAAACUGCCCGAUGGAGGGGGAUAACUACUGGAAACAGUCGCUAAUACCGCAUACUAUCGGAUGUGCCCAUAUGGGAUUAGCUAGUGGGUGGGGUAAUGGCUCACAUGGGCGACGACCCCUAGCUGGUCUGAGGGGAUGACGAGCAACCCUGGACUAGAGACACGGUCCAGACUCCAAGGGAGGGAGGCGGUGGGGAAUUUUGCACAGUGGGGGCAAGCCGAAUGCACAACGGCGGCGUGUUUGAAGAAGGCCUCCGGGUUGUAAAGUACUUUCAGCGAGGAGGCGUUACUCGAAUAAGAAGCACCGGCUAACUCCGUGCCAGCAGCCGCGGUAAUUC